GAAAGCGUAGCUCUGAUGGUAGAGCGCUCGCUUUUCAUGCGAGAGGUUCGGGGAUCGAUACCUUGCGCCUCCA